GGAUUAGAAACCCUGGUAGUCCACGCCGUAAACGGUGGGUGCUAGGUGUAGGCGGUAUUCCACGCCGUCUGUGCCGCAGCUAACGCAUUAAGCACCCCGCCUGGGGAGUACGGCCGCAAGGCUAAAACUCAAAGGAAUUGACGGGGGCCCGCACAAGCAGCGGAGCAUGUGGCUUAAUUCGACGCAACGCGAAGAACCUUACCAAGGCUUGACAUGCAGGGAAAUCCUCCAGAGAUGGGGGGUCCCAAGGGUCCUGCACAGGUGGUGCAUGGUUGUCGUCAGCUCGUGUCGUGAGAUGUUGGG
rnacentral:rRNA from 1 species